rnacentral:lncRNA from 1 species
UGGGCAACAAGAGCAAAGUCUCAAAAAAAAAAAAAAAAAAAAAAAAUUAAGUCAGCUGCAAUCCUAAUUAUAUCCCUCAAUCAACUAAUAAGCAGAAACUACUAUGUAUAUGACGUUCCAUUUGUGUGGUGUGACUAAAGGAGGAAGAUUUUCUGAAAAUGCCAAGAACAAUACUAAAAUUAUAUGCAAAGAAAUUACCAGCAUUAAGUGCAAAAAGUCCCAGAGAAAAACAUUAUUUAUAAUGUACAAUUAAUGGUCAACAUUGGUCACUAGGAUAAAACACAAAAAUCACCCCUACCAUUUUUAUGCUUUAGCAGCUCCUCCUCUCAUUCUAAUUUAGAAUCCCAAUUUCAAAAGACUGAUCCAGACAAGAUUAAAGAAGCUUAUAACUUCCCUAGUUGCAAAAGUUCCAAAAGCAAGCUGAGGAGAAAGGAAGAUUCUUUAAAACUUCCCCAAUCUUUUAACAGCUCUUCUCCCUCUUAUUAUCCGGAUUCAUCUGUAAGGUUUUAAUUCCAACAAACUCUUGACAGCAAGCCGCUCCUCUCUCUACCCCACCCCUUGUCUGUGACGUGUAGCAUUCUGUAAUUUUACUCAGGCUGUGGGUAAGUCUCGACUAAGUAUGCAGUGAGUUUCAUAGGAGGUGACAAAGAGGUGCUGCCUUUUUUUUUCUCCAAGCCCUUCUUACUGACUGUGAUGUCUCUUGUGCUGUGAUGGAAAUAAGACAUCUAAAAAAAGUAGGGUUUUUGUUGUUGUUGUUGUUGUUCCCCUCCAUUCAUCCUCUUUGUAUUAUUAAUUGGUGCACUCUAUCUUGAGGCAUCAAAUACUAAAACAAUUAUAAGUAUUCAGACUAUGUCUGAAGAAUGGCUCAAUCUAAAAACUUAAAAGUAUAGGGCUAUUUCCAUCACCUGCUAGCCAUUCAAUUAUUUUUUGUGCCCUUAAAACUUCUUAUAAACAUAUUCAACUAUAAUUCAAAUGGUUUAAAAAGCUACUCUGGUGGUCCACAGAAGUAAUGGCUGCUCUGUAGAUUCAAGCUAAUAAUAAAUGACUAGCUUGGUGUUACCUUAAAUGGGUUCUGGCA